UGACGGUACCUGACUAAAAAGCACCGGCUAAAUACGUGCCAGCAGCCGCGGUAAUACGUAUGGUGCAAGCGUUAUCCGGAUUUACUGGGUGUAAAGGGAGCGUAGGUGGCAAGGCAAGCCAGAAGUGAAAACCCGGGGCUCAACCGCGGGAUUGCUUUUGGAACUGUCAUGCUAGAGUGCACGAUGGGUGAGCGGAAUUCCUAGUGUAGCGGUGAAAUGCGUAGAUAUUAGGAGGAACACCGGAUGCGAACGCGGCUCACUGGACUGUAACUGACACUGAGGCUCGAAAGCGUGCGG
rnacentral:rRNA from 1 species